UGUGUAUGAAGGUUUGCUAAAUCCUUGGAAAUCGUAAUCAGUCGACAAAGCCGCAGGUUUGCUAAAUCCCUGGAAAUUGUAAUCAGUCGACAAAGCCGCAGAUUUUAAGUAAAACGGCGUUUUGAGAUUGUGUAUGAAGGUAUCUAUUUUUCUGUAUUUUUUAAAAAUAAAACAAAAUAGUAAUAUGAA